rnacentral:lncRNA from 1 species
AGAAUUUUAACAUAGUUUUUACCAUUUUGUUUAAUAGUUUGGUUUCAUGUUAAGUUUAUAAGGUAUUAAACUUUGUGGUUUAACUUGACUGUAUGAUUCCCCCGCCCAUUCUGAUAAAUUGACAUGGGAUAUAGCGUUGACGGCAUGAUUUAUUUUCCCUAAGGUGGUUGUUUUUCCAAACUGGUUGAUGAUGUUCCAAUAAUCAAAUGUUCUUCAGGAAUAUAAAUAGUAGACCUUUAAACUUUAAAGGUGUAUUAUAUCUGCUGAUUGUUAUUUGAUACUUGGUUUCUGAAACUGGACUAUAGUCUCCAAAGAGCUUUGAGAAUUAAAUCUUAGAAACUGCUUUCAAAGUCAACAGUCAUAUAUUCAUGUAUUUUGAUAGUUUAUUAAUAAAAUAAUAUCAUUAGAAACUUAGAGAAAUGUAUCAUUCAUUUUGUUUUAGUUUCUGGAGAAAGAGAGUGUUUUACAACAAAAUUUAGCUCUUGCCUCUUUUUCUAUAGCUUGGUUGUAAAAAAUAAUACUAAUUGAUCAUCAAUCCUAGCUCCUUUGAAGGGUAUAAACAGAUUCAGGAAAGAAGUUAGCCUCCUAACAACCACCCAGGGAUCUUUUAUAUGUCUUAUGAAACAUAGUCAGAAAUAUUGUGUAAUUUAGAUGUUUGCAAAUGGAAAUUGAUAAUAAAGUACAUGUUUUGUGUGUAUGCUCUAUGUCAUUAGAGUCUGUGAUGUCCAAAAUAUAUAAAGUCAACAUUAAUUGGUUGCAUAAUCCUCAUAAGAUAGCAAUAGAUUGAUUUAGGAGCUAUGCUUUAUAAUCUUAGCUGUGCCUUUAACUCACUAACUCAUUAACAUAUUAUUUCACAUUGUAGUUU